rnacentral:rRNA from 1 species
GAUGAACGCUGGCGGCGUGCCUAAUACAUGCAAGUCGAGCGAACAGACGAGGAGCUUGCUCCUCUGACGUUAGCGGCGGACGGGUGAGUAACACGUGGAUAACCUACCUAUAAGACUGGGAUAACUUCGGGAAACCGGAGCUAAUACCGGAUAAUAUAUUGAACCGCAUGGUUCAAUAGUGAAAGACGGUUUUGCUGUCACUUAUAGAUGGAUCCGCGCCGCAUUAGCUAGUUGGUAAGGUAACGGCUUACCAAGGCAACGAUGCGUAGCCGACCUGAGAGGUGAAGCGCCCACUGGAGAAUAGAGACACGGUCUAGCCCCCUACGGGGGCCGGCAGAGGGUAAUCCCCGCCUGUGGGCUAAACCCUGGAGUGUCAACUCCUAGUGAUGAAUGAGUCUCUAGUUUUAUUAACACUCUUUUUGGGGGGAAAAAAAAAUGUGUAAUAAUCUAUCCGCUUCUUCGGUGUACCAAAUCAAAGACACUCAUCUAUCUCCAUG